GACGAACGCUGGCGGCGUGCCUAAUACAUGCAAGUAGAACGCUGAAGGAGGAGCUUGCUUCUCUGGAUGAGUUGCGAACGGGUGAUUAACGCGUAGGUAACCUGCCUGGUAGCGGGGGAUAACUUUUGGAAACGAUAGCUAAUACCGCAUAAUAGUAGCUGUUGCAUGACAUUUGCUUAAAAGGUGCAAUUGCAUCACUACCAGAUGCACCUGCGUUGUAUUAGCUAGUUGGUGAGGUAACGGCUCACCAAGGCAACGAUACAUAGCCGACCUGAGAGGGUGAUCGGCCACACUGGGACUGAGAGACGGCCCAGAGAUCUGCAGGAGGCAGCAGGAGGGAAGCGUAGGCAAGAGAAGGAAAACUGACCGAAGAAAGAGGAGGGAGUGAAGAAGAUUGUCGGAACGUAAAGUCAUGCUGUAAGGGAAGAACAAGAGUGAGAGUGGAAAGUACACACAGUGACGGUAUCUAACCAGAAAGGGAAGGCUAACUAAGUG
rnacentral:rRNA from 1 species